UAGGGAAUCUUCCGCAAUGGACGAAAGUCUGACGGAGCAACGCCGCGUGAGUGAAGAAGGUUUUCGGAUCGUAAAACUCUGUUGUUAGAGAAGAAUGAGUGAGAGAGUAACUGAUCUCACAGUGACGGUAACUAACCAGAAAGCCACGGCUAACUACGUGCCAGCAGCCGCGGUAAUACGUAGGUGGCAAGCGUUGUCCGGAUUUAUUGGGCGUAAAGCGAGCGCAGGCGGUUUCUUAAGUCUGAUGUGAAAGCCCCCGGCUUAACCGGGGAGGGUCAUUGGAAACUGGGAGACUUGAGUGCAGAAGAGGAGAGUGGAAUUCCAUGUGUAGCGGUGAAAUGCGUAGAUAUAUGGAGGAACACCAGUGGCGAAGGCGACUCUCUGGUCUGUAACUGACGCUGAGGCUCGAAAGCGUGGGGAGCAAACA
rnacentral:rRNA from 1 species